GAUUUCUGGUUAAGUAACGCUAGCCCGCCCUUGCCAGGGGUGUGCGCUGGUUAGUUGCUUGCCAUCUUUCUAGAAAGCCAGCAGCUGUCAUUCACUUGGCGGCUGUGACGCGAUCUAGAUCUUUUACUUUGAAAAAAUUAGAGUGUUUAAAGCAGGCUUUUGCUAUGAAUACAUUAGCAUGGAAUAAUAAUCUAGGACUUCGGUUCUAUUUUGUUGGUUUCUAUAACUGAAGUAAUGAUUGAUAGGGAUAGUUGGGGGUGCUAGUAUUGGCCGGCCAGAGGUGAAAUUCUUGGAUUCGGUCAAGACUAACUUAUGCGAAAGCAUU
rnacentral:rRNA from 1 species